GCGCCCCGCGCCCGUCCCGCCGCCCCCGCCCGCCUACGGGAGGCAGCAGUGGGGAAUCUUAGACAAUGGGCGCAAGCCUGAUCUAGCCAUGCCGCGUGAGUGAUGAAGGCCUUAGGGUCGUAAAGCUCUUUCGCCUGUGAUGAUAAUGACAGUAGCAGGUAAAGAAACCCCGGCUAACUCCGUGCCAGCAGCCGCGGUAAUACGGAGGGGGUUAGCGUUGUUCGGAAUUACUGGGCGUAAAGCGCACGUAGGCGGAUUGGAAAGUUGGGGGUGAAAUCCCGGGGCUCAACCCCGGAACUGCCUCCAAAACUAUCAGUCUAGAGUUCGAGAGAGGUGAGUGGAAUUCCAAGUGUAGAGGUGAAAUUCGUAGAUAUUUGGAGGAACACCAGUGGCGAAGGCGGCUCACUGGCUCGAUACUGACGCUGAGGUGCGAAAGUGUGGGGAGCAAACAGGAUUAGAUACCCUGGUAGUCCACACCGUAAACGAUGAAUGCCAGUCGUCGGGCAGUAUACCGUUC
rnacentral:rRNA from 2 species